rnacentral:lncRNA from 1 species
GUAUUUGUCACUUCCCGCGCAUCUUAGGCGCCGUUUGGUUUGAUGUAAUUACAAACACAGUGUAGUUAGAAAUGCGUGUAGUUGAAAAUGCAGCAGUUACAACUACAUGCAUUCUGUUUGAUUGGAUGUAGUAGAAAGUACGGUAACUAUAAAACAUUUGUUUGGUUAUAUGUGAUUGAGAAAUGAUUUUUAAAAUUUUAUCAGUUUAUAUAUAUGAUGGUGAGAUUAUUUUCAAUAUAAAAAAUUUGCUUAAAAAGUAAUUAGGGAGGUAAACUUUUUUUUUGCUUAAAUUUACUCUCUCCAACUGCUAUAAUUGGAACUGCGGUCAAUUUGAGCGUAGUUUCAACUGCUGCAGUUGGGCCGCCUCCUGCAGUUUCUAUUGCAGCAGUUGGAAUUAAAUAUAUCAAAUCAAAUAUUGAAUUUGUAUUUACAUACAAUUACAACUGCACUGUAGUUGCAACUAUAUGCAACCAAACGGUCUCUUGGGCUGGAUAUACUUGUUUUGUUGAAAAAAUUUUUUCAAAAUUUGAUAUUUAUUGCAAUUAAAUUAUAGUACUAAUAUAACAAUAAUUAAACUGUCAUAUCACCAUCACGUUAGAAAUAAAUUAGCUUCUAAUCAGCUAAAUUAAAAGACUAAAUUGUCACAAUCUAAAAAAAAUCGCAAUAUUAUAAAAUUUGAGUUAAUUGUGUCCCACCUCUUAGGUUGAGGAUAAAUUUAUCCUAUUCUUAUUUUAUUAUUAGCAGGAUAACUAUUGUCUACACCCGAUGCAUCUCUGUAUUCAAGCACCAAGCAUUUAAUCAUUUAUUGAUUAUUUUUAUUUUUCGUCUUUUAGUUUAAUCCUGUCUACUGCUGAAUUAGUCUUUAAUUUCUAUUUUUAGAUCUAGAAAUUAGAUGGUUAGACUAAAAGUAUCCUGCGUAGAUAUAAAAAUAAACUUAGAACAACUUUUCCAAUAACAAAAGAAUUAAAGUGGAAGAAUUUUGAGAAGCUAAGUUUUUGAAAUAUCAAAAUGGAAUUUAAUGAAUAAUUUUUAAUGCCUCGUUGGGCUUUUUUUUUUUUUUAUUAACAUGAGUUUUAUAUAAUUUGUUAUAUUGAUGAGAAAUCUUUUUUCUUAUUGUCAUACUUAGCUAGCUUGUGCGAAUUCAAAUGGUACUAGUGCAGUAACCAGCGCGAUGCGGCGGGUAGGUAAUAUUCGAUAUUUAGCUUAUAAUAGUUGAUUAUCUUCGUUAUAAUGUAAAUAACAUAUCAUACUUGCAACAUAGAGAACAAAAAAAGAAUAAGAAAAAUAAAACUGUAAGAGAAUAAAAUUUGAUGCAUAGUUAAACUGAAGAAAUAUUUGAGAUUUUAUAAAAAAAAGCUAAAGAAAGACGAAAUAGUAAAUACAUAAAAGAAUUAAAAAAAUUUUGAAUAACAAACAAAUAAAAGUAUAAGCAAUUAAUGCAACAGCAGCAGGAGUGACCAUAAAUACAAUAAAAUUGAGAGUUGUAGAAGUCGAGGAAAGAGUGUAAGAGUUGGCUAAAAGAAAAGACAAUAGUCAGUAAAGAAUUAAAGAAAGAAUGAAAUAGGACUAAUAGGAAAAGUUGGUUAAGAAAUGUUACUAACCUGCUGUCCCAAAAAUAUGCGAUUGCAGUAGUACAAAAAUCAAGUGAAGUAGCAAUUUACAAAAUUAAUUAGAAUAUAUAAGUUGUAGAACUUAUAGUCAAAUAAUUUUAAAUAGGAAUAGUAAGAAAACAUCAUCACAACAAUCGAAAAAAUUAAUAUACAGAACACACUGGUUGCAAUUAUUUCACAAUUUCCAUCCUAGUUAAUUUACUUUGUAAAAUAUGAGUUAAGCCGAUAGAUAAGUUAAGCUGACAGAUAGGGCGGCCACAAAUACCAUACAAACCCAGAAUUAAGCAAAAUAGUUAAACUGGCAAGUAUUUCAUACAAAAGCCCAAAUAUAAGAAAAUACUGACAUGUCGACAAAAGGAAAUAGAAUAUAAUCAGAAAGUAUACCUGCCUAAAUUAAGGAAAUACCUCCACGUGGACUAAAGAAAACCUGAUUUCAUCAAGAAUAAUAUGUAAAUAAAUGGAAGGUAAUGAAAGUAUUUGGUAUACAAAAGAAGGAAAGAAUGAAUUAAAACUAAUAGUAAAAUUGCAAUAUCUUUUUUUCAAUCCACAUAUACAGUAGAUGAAACAAUAGUAGCAAAAGAUCAAGUAAAGCAGCAACUUCGAAAAUUGAUUAUAAAAGUAAAAAAAAUAUCAUCACAACAAUCGAAAAAAUAUAAAGUGAAAUAAAAUGAAGGAGCAGCACCUAAGGUUAAGUAGAAGCUAGAAAAAUAUCAGCAAGAACUUGUAGUAAGAAACGAUACAGAAAAAAAAGGAAAAAAAAAUGCAAACCUAAACUAAUGGUAAAAUAUACAUCAUAAGGAGUAUAAGCAGUAGUAGUAGAAAUUUGAGCAAAUCGAAAAAGAUCAACAGGUAGUAAAAUUCUAUUUUUACUAUAGGCUCAGACAUGUAAUGAGUAUUAUCAAUAGUCAACAAUAGUAUUUUUCUCAUUUCAGAAGUCUUCGAGAAAAUGUGCCACGUAUAGUUAUAUGUUCUCAAUAGCUUAUGUAUUUCUUGUAGGGAGUAAUCACCGGUUACAUUUAUUUAGUAACUGUCAUCCUAGUUGAUACCCAACCAUCAGAGAAAUAGAGGUUUUUUUGCCGCAAAUAAAAUUUUUAUGAAAGCAUAUUAUAUAGUCGGCAAGAAGGGACUGCAGAGAAUAGAUCCGAACCAUUUUCAUGACCGGAGGGGAUCAAUAAGCCGAAACGAAGUGUCGCUAAUGGGAACGGCGCGACAGGAAUAAGGGCCGACCAUGAAUUCGGCCCAAUAUUCCGUCCAGAGAGGGCACGGGCGUCGGAGCGGCAUCGAGGGGGGCAAACGAAAUGAAGCGUCGCUAAUGGGAACAGGCGCAACGGGAAGAAGGCCCGACGAUGAACUCAGCCCAACGUUCCGUCCAGAGAGGGAACAGGAGUCAGGGCGUCAUCUAGAAGGGCGAGCGAAGGAGCCGGAGGUGGAAGACGAAGUUAAUUAGAAGCAGGGAAAAUUAAAUGGGAAGCAUAGUAGGGAGGAAAAAAAAUUUGGUUGGAUGGGCCCCGUCCACUAAUUAAUUAAUAGAGUACUUAAGAUGACAGGUAGGGCCCACAAAAAAUUAAAUUAAGCUAAUAUUGCCACGUGGACAAAGAGAACGGACUUUCAUAAGGGUUAUAGAUAGAUAGAUUUGCUAUAAGCUCAGACAUGUAAUGAGUAUUAUUAGCAAGCAGCAAUAAUAUUUUUCUCAUUUCAAAAGUCUUUGAGAAAAAACGUUGCGUAAGAGAAGAAACUGAUUUGUCUGAACCAAUUAAAUUGGAAAAAACAAAAUCCACACAAAUCCACAAUUAAGCAAGCUAGUUUAAGAUGACAGGUAGGUCACACAAAAGGCCAAAUUAAGCAAAUAUCGUCAUGUGUACAAAAGAAAACGGAUUUUCAUAGAAGUUUAUAGAUGCAUCCCUUGUCAAGGGGAAUAACUGGUUGCAAUUAUUUUAUAAUUGCCAUCCAAAUUAAUUUACUGUGUAAAAUCUUCAUUGAUAUUCAACCGUAGUUUUUUUUAGUUUUGUUAUAAUUGCCAAAUAUAUAAGUAAUUACAAAUGUAAACUAUCUCAAUCUUUGCUUCAUCACUUGUUAAGCGAAAUCCUUGAUCGCAACGGUUGCAUAACUGCCAUCCAAAUUGCCUUACCAGGUGUAUACUCUUUUCAUAUUAUUCAUAAGAUUAUUCAUUUUGUUAUCAUCGCCAAUGCCAACAAAUAAAAAACUUAAUAUUACGUUUAUAGAACUUAUUAGAAAGUAUCUGAAAUCAUCAAGUAGCAAAAAAUAAUAGAGAUGCAACAACAAAGUAAAAAGUGAACUACCUCAAGAUUGAUAAGAGGAACCGAUUCAAUGGAAAUAUACACUAUAUAUAUAUAUAUAUAUAUAUAUAUAUAUAUAUAUAACAUCUUUGUUGGUUAGAAGCUACCAACAUUAAUUUAAAAUAUACUANGGAGUAAAAAGAGUAAGAAAAUAAAAAAAUUGAAAACAUGAUAGAAUACAACAUAUUAGAUAAGAAGACAUAAACCAUAUCAGAUAAAAUAAAAGGCAUAAACCAUAUCAGAUAAGAAGACAACAUGAUAGAAUACAACAUGGCUGCAUUUAUGGUUCCAAAUCCUCAGUUCAGCUUUAGAAGUUUAGACAUGAAUAUUAAAACACGAUAGAAGACAAUAUACAUGAAUUUAUUGUACAGCGUAAGCAUACAGAUUUAGUUUAUUUCCUAGCAAAUAUUUUUUUAUUCGGAUAUAAAUAAAAUAUAGACAUAAGGAAUAAUAAGGAUGAACUCACAUGUAUACACGGUCAAGCUAAAUUAUUCUUUUUAAAAAAAAGAACAAAUGGAUACUCAAUUUUAAUAUUUACUUACACUAAACUAUGCAGUAAGAAAUUGUUAGAUAGAAACAACAUUAUGAUUCAAUUUAGUAAGUCAUUUACCCUACCCAUUAUUUUCAGGGACAAAUGAUAAUCAUAAUAAGGUUUUUAUCAAGUUAUUUUAGUGACGCUACUUCCAUAAUUGAUGUCUACAGUUCACUCAGUAUUUUGCAAAAGCAUCUUUUAGAUUCAAGGAAACAUGUACGGAGAUACAAAAUAAAUUAAAUAUUCACUGAUGAUUCGUAACAGAAAAAAAAAUUUACAAUCACAUUAAGAUUACUAUUGAAGUUACUAUACAGAUGCUGUCUUCCAUAAAUGAUGCUUAAGGUUUACUCAGUGUUUUCUAUUUUAGCCAUCCCAAAAUAACUAUUUAGAAACAGGGAGAAAGAGAAGGAAAGAAGGGAAAAGACAACAAACAUCCCAUUUUUAUAGUCUCUUUAAUUUCCUUACAUGUGAUGUAAACCUCUAUUGCUGGAAUUCAUAAUAACACAUGUUAAUGUUAAGUUAGAAGAGAAAACAUACAGUAAUUUGGUUUUAAUUACAUAUGGAUUCAAUUAUCUACUGGAGUUACUCUGAUCCUAAAGAUGUCAUAACUACAAAGCUUUGUCAAGGUAACAUGACCAUUCAAUAAAGUGUGCAAGCAUGAUUAAAUACUAAUACUUCAUUGAAACAGUUUAACUUCAUAAAAAGAAGUACAUAUAGAUUGAACGAGGCAUUGCAAGAAUACCAGACACACAGAAGCCUUGCCAAUUUAUGACUAUGCCGCCUUCGGCUUCAAUCCUCACUUGUUCGUCCUCUCUAUUAGGCUGAAGCAUAAAAUAGGAAAUAAAUUCUCUAUUUUCUUUUAAAAAAAUCUUAUUUAAAUAUUGUAAGACAUGUCAUACUUUAUGAUCCGACGACGAUAGAGGCACCACUGUUUGCCACGACAAAGCACUACCCUCGAAUCGCCACAGUUUGCAACUAUGAUGUGUGAAGAACACACAACGGCAACAACAGCCAUUGAGCCCAUAGUAUCCGGGGCUAACGGUUCCGAAAGCCCCUCGUGAAUCGAUUUCCCUCCCACAUCGUCAUCAACUCUUUGAAAGCAAUCAAUGAAUGCUCUCUCCCACUGUUUCUUUAUAUCAACCUCACUUGUCCCUCCUAGACCUUUGUUCACAUUAUUCAGUUCUUUAACCAAUGCAGCAUGAAUUCAGUCAUGGCAGUAGUUAGCCACCUAUAAUUUGAAUAAAAAGACAAACUUGAGAAAUCGUAAAGCAGCAGUGACAUAUAAAAACAAUAAAUGAUAGGUUAUAAACAAUUUGGAACGCAGAUAUGUCACGCCCCGGGACCGGCGGAGGCCCUCUCGAUAGCGUGCCCAGACCCGCCAUAUGUCUACACAUAUAAGGCGUCUACCAAAAAGUGGAAGUAAAAGCGAGAAAUAACCUACAACUAGAGAUAUCAUAGUAAAUAUAAUUCUAUCAUCUAUAAAGAGAGAGUACAAAAAUCACAACUAAACCGUAGAGGUAAAACAUAGGGUAAUACAAUAUCCGACCAACAAGUACACAAAAGGGGUGGUCUCUAGUACACCGGUACAGCUCUCAACCUCUCCAAAAUAAAAACAUCGAGAAGUAGACCACCUAGCGACUCGUCCCUCGCUGAAGAGCUAGCUCGAAGUCACGCCCUUCCCUCGGUCCCUAGCCUCUCCCGGCGUGAAAGGCUCUGAAAUAAAACAUAAAACAGAGGGCGUGAGGACUAUAAUUUAUAGUUCCCAGUGGGCAAUUACUGAUCUCAGCUCAAUGCACUACUAGGUCCCAAAAGAAAGGGUAAGUAUCGACAGUAAUAAAAAGCGGUAGAGAGCGAGUAUAAAAACUGCUGAAAGGAAAGCAUAAAUGAAAUGCUAUUCUACUAUGUCUCAAGCAAGCAUGAUGUCAUGGUGAUGCACAUCUACACUGUCAUAAGGCAAAAUGUCCAAUGCAUAAGGAGUAAGCUCUAUCGAAGCAACCCAGUAUACUCCGAUAUAAUGAAUGAACAGACAAAUAUACUAUAUAUCCCAAUGCUAUGUCAUGAACAUGCAAGUAAUUCAACUACUAAGCCUAUCUAGUAGUGAUCAUUCAUUCUCAACGCUGUGUCAAUUUUCAUUUCCAAUUAAGGACCUACCAAAGGUAGUCCAGCUUGUGCCGCCUAAGUACUUGUGGUAGCCCAACAUCCCUACUCUUGGAAUGUGUCUGUCCCACUCGACCCCGUAGGCUUCUCAAUACCACACGAGCGAACAUAAGUCGCGUAGGCUAACUCCGGAGUGCUGGCUUGUAGGGAGCGACCCUCACAAGCAUGUGCGAAUGAGCACAAAUGGCAAGCAAGCGUGAUCCUCAUCUCAGGUACCAAUCAUCAUGUCUCUAGCAUGGUGUAAGCCACUAGUAUCCAACGAUCUAGUUCUAUGUCACAAGGUGAAGUUCCAAUCAUUCACUAAGUCUAGUGCCCCUUUAUGACACUUAGACAUCUCGAAGUACCGACACGUUCCAAUUCUCUCAUGGCCCUAUCCACUAGGCUCAAACACAACCCGAGCUCAAUGCCGCUUUAUGACAUUAGCCUACAAUUUCACAUGUCAAUCUUGUCAUAUGCCUCUUUAUGGCUUACUUAGAUCCUCUAUAUCUCAAAUAGGUAUAGCUCAAAAUGCAUGAAGGUAGAGCUCAUUAUCACAAUAGGUAGUAUGGUACCAAGCCCCAAUAGGAUGCCAAUCAAGUAUAAGUCCCACAGGGAAACCCUCUACUAUAUAGGGCCCGAAAUUUCUCACACAUGAAAUAGGUAUGUUAGGCAUCCUAAAAUUCACAAUAAAUACAUUUAACAUAGAGAUGCAUGAAUUUUUACUCUACAAGCGCAAAACAUAGGAUAUGAGGAUUUCUCAUAUGCCAGGCUAGGUCAAACCCACCGAACCGUCGCGUGCUCCUUCGAUUCGCCGAACGGAGUUGUCCACGAGUCUCAAAAUAUCCUAAAAGUAUCGAGCGAAGAGAUACACGAGCAUUACGAUCAACUAUAGGAUCAAACUUAACAAACUUAGCAAAAGGGCUAAAACUCACCUCAAGAAAAGAAAUCUCUUCCAAAGCUCCAAAAGAGAGCUAGAUCCCUUCCAAUCCAAAUCCAAAGAAGGUUCUAAACCAACUAAUUUAGCCCCAAAAGCCCUAGAUCAAAAAAAUGCCCAAAUCAAACCCUAAGAUCCCAUUCUAGGGUUCCAUCUACUAAAAACCUUCAAAUCAAGAUCUAGAGGAAGAAUAAGAGCAACAAACCUCCUUAGAAGCUCCAAUCCAAGCUCCAAGGGUGAAGAUCUCCUCUUUGGCAAGCUCAAAAUACAAGCCUCCAAGCACCAACAAGGUGGGAAGAGGAAGAGAGGCAAAGAAAUGCUCCAAGUCCACCAAAACCUUCUCCUUCUUCUUCUUCUCCUUCUCUCUCUAACAAGGUUGGGGGGAGAGUGUGAGGAGGGAAAUAAGAAGAAGAGAGAGUGGAUGGGUCAUAUAGACCUUCUAUUGUAACAAAAUCCAGCUAGGUCCCCCAAAAAUCCACAAUUACAGCAGCCCGGUCUGGGCAGUUUUCGCCCAGAGGGACCGGUCUCUCCCCAGCAGGGACCGGUCUCUCGUUGCGAACUCGAAAAACCAACGUUCGGGAACCGGUCUCUCCCUGCGCGGGACCGGUCUCUCACUGCGAAGACGCGCUCGGGGACCGGUCUCGCCUGCCAGGGACCGGUUGCCUCAGGGCUACCGUAACACUGCUCAUUGGAGGACCGGUCUCUCCUUCCAGGGACCGGUCCCCGAGAGUGAAAACUCUCUGGACUUGUCCAGAAUUCCAGUUUUCGAAGUUUUUAGGUCAGAAAACAUUCUACAACCCUCCACCAAGUGUGGAAAAGCUCGAAAUACAUCCAAGCACUCGAACCUCGCAGUUUGCAAAGGUCUAGUGUGUUACAAGAUAUUUCUUCUCGCCAAAUUGGAUAGAUAUCUACAACAUCUGGAGAGAUAAUAAAAGAAGUGACAUGCAACAUAUAAGGCCUUCUAGCAGUUUUUUCAUGGUUUCGACAUUAUAGUUGUGACUGUUAGAUAUGGAUUUGCUAUUUCUACAUAACUGAAGGUAUUUUAGAUAAUUGCAUACGGUAUUUCAGAUAAUUAUAUACCAUGAGCAAACUGGGGAUAAAUGAGCAAUUGCAGGUUUUUUUUUUUGCCCAUCCUCCACUCAUUGUUACAUCAGUAGUUUUGUUACUUCGUACCGAUUUGAAAAACGCAUUAAAAAAAAAUCAAACUAAAUUGAUUAUAUCCCUUUGAGAAUUAAUCUAAGAAUGUAUGCCCAGUUUGGAGUGAGGUACCCACAGCAGACAUGGAAAAUUUGAACUCCAAAGAGAGGGAAAAACCUUGUUAAGCUCAAAGAUAAGUCGGCAAAUACAAUUAACAUAAGAAUAUAAUAAAAAUGUUUGUCACUAUAUGCAAUAUUAAGACCCGGUUUCUCUGUAGAUAGUUUGCAUUCAUUUUCCAUUGUUCUGCAAUAUAAGAGAGAGAGAGGAAUGAGUUACGAAUCUAGUAAUGGACAUCUCGAAGGGCACCGAGGAGUCGUUGGCCUUCAACUCCGCUGCAACAGUGGCUCGGCUCAGUGGAGAGAUGAUUGCGGAGAUGAACGCCUCAUCUUAGUUCGAUUGGGACUGGGGAGUGGACAAAGCGGAGGAGAUGGUUGGGAGAAAGAGGAGGAGAAGGGGUGCCAUGGGGUUUGGGAGGUGGGAGAUGGAUGGGGGAAAGGAUUUUAACGUUAGGGUUAGGGUUUGUAAUAAGAGUUAUAGAAGAGGAGAGAGAUGGAUGGAGAGAGUGAAGGGAGGAGAAGGGUAGGGAAAAAGGGAGAUGCGGAGCAUAAGAAAAGGUGUAGGGGCGGCUGGGAAAAAAAGAAGAAGGAGAGGAGGCGGAGGGGCGGACGGUCUCUUUUAGGUUUUCUAGAACCAUUUUUGUGACCGGAGGGUAUGAAUAAACCGAAACGAAGCGUCGCUAACGGGAACGGCGCGAUCGGAAGAAGGGCCGACCAUGAACUCGCCCAACAUUCCGUCCAGAAAGGGAACAGAAGUGGGAGCGGCAUCUAGGGGGCGAACGAAACGAAGGGUCACUAACAGGAAUGGGCACGACGGGAAGAAGGCCCGACGAUGAACUCGGCCCAACAUUCCGUCCAGAGAGGGAACAGGAGUCGGAGUGGCAUCUAGAGGGGCGAGCGAAGGAGCCGGAGGUGGAAGACGAAGUUAAUUAGAAGCAUGAAAAAUUAAAUAAGAAGCAGAGUAGGGAGGUAAAGAAAUUUGGUUAGGUGGGCCUCACCCACUAAUUAAUUAAUAGAGUAUCUUAAGAUGAUAGAUAGGGCCCACAAAUUAAAUUAAGCUAAUAUUACCACGUAGAUAAAGAGAACGGAUUUUUAUAAGGGUUAUAAAUAUGAUUCAGAUAAAUCUUUUAAUAAUUUUUACCAAGUCUUAUACAUUUUUACUUUUCUUUUUUUCUUUUUUUUUUUUCCCUCUCCUUUUAACUCGAGUGUUUCUCCGUGGCCCCAACACAACACAACACAACACACACUCGUAGAUCGAAUCCCAUGGCGCCUCCCACCCACCGCCUCCUCCGAUCUCUCCGCCCCUUCGUCUCCUCCUCCCGCCUCCGCCUCCUCGCCUCCCCCUUCUCCUCCUCCGCCGCGGCGGCGGCGGUGGCGGCGGCGGAGGAAGAGAAGAAGAGCCCUUGGAGGGAGGCGGACGACGUGAUCUACGUGCGGCGGCCGAGCUCCGCGGCGGCGGCGACGAGGGACUCGACCUCAGUGACGAUGCCGAUGGCGUUCAUGACGGGGUCCGUCGUGGGGAAGCGCUUCUACAAGGAGGUGACCACGCGCUUGGCCGAUGAUGGGAAUGGGUGGACGGUGAUGCUCGAUUAUAGAACCCUAAAAACCCCUGCGAAGAGGGUGCUUAACCUCCCAUCUCUUGCCCUAGCCAAGGCGAUCGCUGCCGAGUGGGAGUACCAGGUAUGCAUCAUCUAAUACCCCUAUCCCUCGAUUUGAUCUCGGAAUUUUGACCUUUUCUCAGUUUAUGUUGCAGUUAAUUUGUUAGCGUAUUGAAUUGCCCUGUGCAAAAUGAUCCUUGUCCUUUUGUUGUAUCGGUAUGGAUUACAGUUUGAUGGUGAUUAGAAUGAUGUGUAGUAGCUGUAAUUGGUAAGAGGGGUUGAUGUCUCAUUAGUUCGUCUAAAUUUAGAUGCUCCUUGCACAUUUUGUUAAGAAAGUUCGAGUUGAAGAUUGCUGUGACGGGUGAGGAAAUGUGGAAAACUUAGAUCGAUGGAAAUAGAAUUUACAUGGCCAUGCAUUGCAGUUUAGAUUGAUGAUGGAAUCCCCGCCUUUCGUUGCUGCUAUGCUUUUGACAAUUUGGACAUGUUCCAUCUUCUAAGAAAGGAGAAACGAAACACUUAAUCUGUUGCUCUUUAGUCUCCACUUCGUAGUUUUCAUUUGGGUUUAGAAUCAUGCCUCGUUGUAAGUGAUGUCCGUCUAAAUUUCUAAUUUUCUUCUAUUCACAAAGCCACAUUUUAUCAUUCACCUGUGCUUUCACCUUUUGGGUGUGUGACGUGUGUUGUUUCUCUAUGGCCUAAUAUUUGGUGCCAUAAAACAUUACAGGGUACCUUCUCAUUGUAUAUAUGUUACAUGUUCUUGUGCAAGAUCCCAUUCCACACCUUCAUGUAUCCACUUUUAAUCCUUUGGCUCCAAACUCCUCGCACGCAUGGUAUUGAGUGCUUACUUUGUGCAAGUCUUGCUCAAUUUUACCUAGAAUGGGAUACAUUGUGGUAUGUGGUACGGGUACGGUAACGUGAUAUGCUAGUUUCUUAUAAACGUGGUAUGACGGAGGUAGAAUUAGUCGGAACAUUAUUCUGAAGUGUGGUUAGUUUAGAACAUCAAUACAGAUCAACUUAUUGUAGAAAAAAUUAAUUACUUACCUUUGUUACCGCAUAGUUCUUUUCUUUCAUUAAGGUGGAAUUGGUUAUUCUAUCUAGUAAAACACAUUUCUCUAAGGUAACCUAACAAUCAGAUUUAUGAAAUCAAAAUACUUCUUUAUUGUUCAGUUUCGUCAUUGUCUGCUAUCCGGAUCGAGAACCCACCGCGAAUCGUUAUGUGCGAUUCGGAUUGCUGUCCGGUGAGGGGGGUCUGCGAUUCUGGUUACUAUGGUCUUGCCAUGCAAUGAAUCUUCAUCCUUUCUCUAUUUUAUUCCAAUCCUAUAUAUUUGGUUAUACUUCUGCUUGUCCUGAAACUUCUAAACUAGAGAGCAGUGUAUCAAUUUGGAUCCACCACUGAUUUUAUCAUGAUUUAUCAAGACCAUUACCUAAUAGUAUCCAUUGAAUUUGUUUUGUGUUGUAAGGCGGUUUAGAAAGCUCAUUAAUAACAGAAUAAAGAAGAAAGGGGAUAGAUCGGAACUUUGAUGUAAACCUAUCAAAAUAGGAUAUCUGCUGGUGGUGCCACCAGUUCUUGCAUUUGUGGCCACUUUCCUACCACUUAUUCUUACCCAAUUUAAGCUACUUAAUCGCAAUGCAUUUCUUUUCUAAAAUGUACUAUAUGACUUCUUGGAGCUAUCCUGUGUUUUCGAAAUUAAUUAAAAGCAUUUGCACUUUCCUUUUUGCGACAUAUAUUUUCUUAUAAGCUGUUUAAGUGUAUGUAUCUUCCAUAUGAUUACCCUAUCUUCUUUUGUCUGUAGCGUAAUUCAAAGUUCAUGUAAGGACUCAUUUCUAUCCCUCUUACCCUUGUCUUUUCUUCUUUUUAACUAUGCUACUGAAGCUAUUCUCUUUCCCAGCAAUAAUGUUUAAGAGUUAUAAAAAAUUAUCAAAAAAAAAAAAAUCAAAUAUUAACAGAGAGCAUUAGAAUAAAUAAAGUCCGCGUGGCAUGUAUGUGGUCGGCCAUUGCGUGUAAUCCUUUCCAAUUAAAGCAAGGGAACUGUACAAUUACAGCUAAAGGAUGAAUAUCAUGAUGUAAUUUUACUAUAAAUUUGUAGAAAACAUUUCAUUAAAACAAAUACUUAAAAACAGACAAUUUAGGUCAGACAAUUAUAUUAUCAGCUUUCUAUGAAGCUUGAAGCAGUAAGAACCACCUUGUCUCAUUUCAUAUUCAGAAAUUAUGAGACCUGUGGAACUCCUUUUCCAAUUUUCUAAUUCAAUGAGGAAAUAGUUGUCAUGCUGGUGAUGGGGCAAGUAGUAGCUGCUACUUGAGCACUCUUUGUGCUUUAGCUGCCAGCAAAAAGAACUAGUGAACUUUUAAAUGAUUGCAAAUCUCUCGUAAAUAUACUAUGUCAUGACAAGAGAUGGAAAACAAUCUUUCUUUCUCUAAUGAAAUUAAUUCAAAUGAUGCCAUCUGUAAAAUUUAGUCUCUAAAAUUUAUAUAUUGUUCUUGAGAGAACAGUAACUUAUUAUCCGAGCUAUUGGUGAUCUCCAAACAUGAUAGAGUGAUUUUUUUUUUUCUCAUAUAUUAUCUGCUAUAAAUAAUACCCUGCCAUCUGGAAUUCUCUCUUUCUUUGAUUACUUCCUUGGAAUUAUGUUUUAUGCCCAUCAACCUGUAGUUUAUGUCUUUUUAUUAACAUUUAAUUCUUUGUGUUGAUAGCAAACAGAUGGCAUUCGGCCUUUCACGAUGCCUCUCAUGAAGCUUGCAUGUACGGCGCUGGAAAGGGUUCCACUCACACGUGUAAGAGUCAUUGAGAAUUUGAUGAAGAGGUUUCAUCAAGAUCUUGUGUUUUGCCGUUCUCCAGGUGAUAGUGAUUUGACGAAGGGAGUACGUGGUAAGUGCCAUUUCUUUAUGGGUAAAAGUUAAUAAAUCUGAACAUGCUCAUGUAUUGCUAUUGUGUCUGUGAAAGUUAAUAAAUCUGAUUAUACCUGACUUAUUCUUAUAAAAUGGCCUUUUUAUAUGAGAAAGUUCAGGGGACAAAAGUUUUUCCAUCAAAGUUUGAGGGAUUAAGUUGCAAUAUAGUAUAGGAGAAGAAUAGAAACAAGAUCCAAGACAUUGUUCGAGAGCAACCUAGUUCUUAAGAUAGUUUCCGUAUGUCUUUUGUCAACAUUUAAGUGGUUGCAUAAUACUCAAUUAAAUGACAGACAGGAUGUUCUUUCAGUUGGAUUUUCUCUGACAUCUUCAUUAUGUUUGCAGAAGUGCACAUGUGCGAUAGAUGAGUGCUAAUAGUAUUGGAUUUUGUUGAAUUUAUUUGGCCAAAUAAAACAGAGAACAGUAUACUGGAGGAGAAUAUUAUGUAUGCAUUUGGUUGGUAAUUUGAUUCAUAAACUACAAGUUAGAAAAAUCAGUCAUAUAAUUAAGAUUUAUUCUCAAAAAUGUUUACCCAAAACUGGUAGCUGCAUGAAAUCUCACAACUAUAAUGAAUUCCUUAAGUAAUUUUGAACAUUUAAAGUUUCGAGAAAGUAAUUUUAUCCAGAGCAAUAGGGGGCGUUUUUAUUAUAGUCUGUGGUGGAUAAGAAACUUUACCCAUAAAUUACAUAUUAUUGGGAAAAAAAAGAAGUAAAUGCUAACAGAUCGGUAAAUUCAAACUACUAUGAAUUCUGCACGUGGAUCAUUUUCUGGCAUUUUGUUCUAUCUAGUAAUGACAUUUGUCAAUUUGUAAACUUUGUAGCUUUUCUCGCUGCUUUCUCUUAGUUCCUACAACAUUUUGUUGUUGCCUCCCUCUGCUGCAUCUUUGAUUUAAUUUAGUAGAUUAAUUUUUCCUCAUUUAUUUCUUGUGUAAUUUGAGAAUGUCGCUAGAAUGAGCCUUAGCCUGUUAACUUACCUUAAUGAUAAGGUUAUGUCUCUUUNUCUUCGCUAUUACGCCAGCUGGCGAAAGGGGGAUGUGCUGCAAGGCGAUUAAGUUGGGUAACGCCAGGGUUUUCCCAGUCACGACGUUGUAAAACGACGGCCAGUGAAUUGUAAUACGACUCACUAUAGGGCGAAUUCGAGCUCGGUACCCGGGGAUCCUCUAGAGUCGACCUGCAGGCAUGCAAGCUUACCAUCUUACGUGAUAUAUGCAUAGAAAAAACAAAAUAAAAAAUAUAUUUUUAUUGGUUGUAUGCGCUAUGAAUCGGCAUUGAACGCGCGUUCAAGAAGUGUCAUAUCGGACACGUGUCCGACACAGACACGGGCAUGUCCGAUAUGAACACGGAGGCUUAUAGAAGUGUUCGUGAUAUAUAGGCAACAACUGCUACAAUAAAAACAAAAGAAAGAUAAAAGUAAAUUAAAGAAAAAACUAUAAAAAUAGUAAAAUUAUGCUUAUAAUAGUAAUAAAAUUAUGCUUACUAAAAUGUCAUAUGACUUAUAGUUAGAGUAAAAAAUUAUAAUUAAUUAAAGUUUGAGAACUAAGGUGUGAGAUGCCUCAUAGUUUGAGCCAGAAAUUAUAAUACAUUAAAGUUUGAAGACUAUAGGUCACGUGCCUUAUAGUCUAUGACUAAAAGUGUAGUUUAUCCUUUUUUAUAUUUUAUUUUUAUUUCAGAUGAAGAUAGUGUUGAACAUAAAUUGGUUUUAUUCAAUUAAUAAUUUUAUUUGAGGAAAGAAUAUGCUGAACUAUCUAAUAAAGUUUAGAAUACAUAAUUAUUAAAAUUAAAAAUCGAUCAAUUAUAUUUGGAUAUUUUGUCUCAAAAGAUUUUGAACGUGAUCAAUGACUAAUUAUAUUUUGGAUAUUCGAGAAGAUUGUGAACUUAAAGUUGAUCACUCAUCAGACUAUAAAUAUAGCAUUAAAGUUUGAUUUUAAAACCAAAGAAAAAAUGUAUCAUACUUUCUUGAACUAUGGAUCAUUUUGAAUCGGUUAUCCAACAUUUCAAAAUAUUAUUUUUACUAUCCAACAUUUCAAUUUGUUUGAUUUUAAAUCAGUUAAUGAUACUUUGACUCUAAAAUUUAAAUGUGUCUUUUGUUUUUGUAGUUUAGUUAGUAUACUUCAUGAAAUUUUUGCAACUAUAAAUUUAUUUGUAAUUAGCUUAAACUCUAUCAAUCUUUCUCUUUUUUUUAUUGUAUAAUUUAUUUUUAAGUGACAAAUAUUAUGAAAUUAAAAUUUAUAUUUAAUAUACGCAAUUUUAACUAUGUGCAAAAAAUAUAUAAUUUAAAUUUUUAUAAAAAAAUAAAGAGGAGAUUUGGUUGGUGAAAAGAAGGUGGGUCCACUCUUGUCCUAUUCGCAAAUCAACUUGGGGAGAGAGAGAGAGAGAGAGAGAGAGAGAGAGAGAGAGAGAGGAGAAUUGGAUAUAAAAUAAUAACAUAGUAUAGAUUAUAUAGAUAUCGAUCUGUUUGAUUUUUGUCAGAGUAGUGCUAAUUGUAAAUCCUAAUUUAGGGUGUAUAUUUUACACCUGCUAAAUAUAAGGGCUAGCAUGAUUUUUUUUUUUUUUCUAUCGUGGAUCAGAAAUUCUAAUAUUAAAUUAGAAAAAUUGAUGUUAUGCUCACCCUCUUUUCUCCGCCUUUCUUUUCGGUCCGUCAUUCUCUUCUUUUCUCUCUAGGGGUGAAAAUGGAUAGAAUGUUAUCCAAAAAUAUUCAUAUUCAUAUUCAUUAAUAACUAUUUCUGCAUCGAAAAUAUUUUAAUUCAGUCGAACAUGGAUACGGAUAGAAUUUUAAGAAGUCAAAAUUAUCCGGAUAUUUGAAAACACAGAAUAUAUAUAGUUGUGGAUAUCCAGAUUUUUUUUUUAUAUAUUAUCAUAGUUUAUAUUAAUAAAUUAAAUAAAUUGCAUUCUAAUAUCCCAUUCUCAUUAUCCCAAUAUCUCAUUUCUUUAUUUCAAUAUUGUGUUUACAUUUUUUAGAGAUAUUUUUAAAACAAAAGAUUAUUUGAUUAGUAAUAUGUGUGGGGAGAUAAAGAGUGUUUAACUAUCUUUUUCUGCAGGAGAUAAAGAUUAAAGACAGCUUAAUUGCGACUUGUGGAGAAAUACAGAGUUUGAAUUACUUUUUGUGGAGAGAGAAUAUAUAUUAUGGGAAAACAAGAUGGUUUUUGUGCUCCUUGUUUAUUUUAUUUGUGAGUUUCAUAUAAAAAUUACAUUUGUCAUUGUUAAAUCUUAUGUUUGAUUCAAUCAAAUAUAGGUAUAUAACAGUUUAAAAUGAAUGCGAAACUUUAGUUGCAAUUUAUAAGUGCAUAUUAUUAGUGCAUAUAUUAUUAUUAUUCCAAUAAUACCCGAAUAUACAUAUCGGGUCUAUAUUUGGUCAAAAGAAAUGUUCGACUGUAUCUGAAUUCAUUUUUAGCGAAUAUAAUAACGAAAUUUAGCAUCCAACAAAUAUUCGAAUUUGAAUUCAUAUUUUUUUUAAAAAAAAAGAAAAAAAGAAAAAACCGGAGGAUACAAAUAUAUAUGGUUUCAUCAAAUAUUUAUCCAAAUUCGAUCGGUACGUUUCGAUCCCUACCGCCCUCCUCACUUAUUUUGUUUCUGCACCUCUUGUCUGUAGGCUAGCUAGCAUCGUCCCCUCUAUGCGCCCACCAUUCACUACUGUAACUCCGUCUCGUCUCUGCACCUAUCAGCAGCCAUCGCCCGCCAUGGUGUCAUCUCUGUGCCAACUACAGACUAAAUUUCCUCUCUCUUCCCCCGGCCCGGCCCUUUCUAUCGUACGUUCAUUCAAACUGUGAGACGGUACAAUCGAUCUGCGUUUGUGCAUCGCGUGCACUCUAGCUAACAACUCCUUGUGUUAACGUGAUCCUACAUAUUUUGAUAUCAUGUCACCAACGAUUAUUAUGAGCCCAUCAGCCUGUAUUACACUCUUUGAAUUUAGAAUAGCUAGUUUUUAUAUAUAAAGUCUAAUGAAAAACUAAAUAAGAUGAUGAUGGGCUAUUUACAUAUAUAGAGUAGAAAAAACAGCCGAAAAUUCAAUAAUUUGGACUGCACUAAUAUUAUAUUUCAAGGGAGUGGCCACACCGGCCAAGAAGAGACAAGUAGAGAAAAAUGCCUCACCUAUAAAUAUAGUAUAAGUAUAAGUAUAUAUAUAUAUAUAUAUAUAUAUAUAUAAUAGAGUUAAUAGAGUUUAAGCUAGGAUAAUCUUAUAGGUAUAAUAGUCCUAGUACAAAUUUGAACUCAGUGAGCAUAAACAGAGAUGGAAAGAUUUUGUUUUUCAAAAUAAGAGAAAUAAAAUAAAACUCCGCAGUUUCUAGGUGCUUACAAUCAAUCUUAAGAAAGCUACUGUCGACCACCUAGCUAGCUGCCAAAGAAAAACAACUCACUUGGAACACUUUUGGUUUUUUUUUUUUUUUUUAGAGAGAGAAAGGUAGCAGCAUGUUAACCGCUUCGUUUAUUUUUUUAGAAAUAAACUUAGCUGAAAAUGUUAAUCGAUUAGAAUUCAAAUUUGGCAUCUCCAGUAUCAACCACCAAACCCUUAGCCACUUGCGCUAGGGACAUUCGGUCUUGGAAUACUUUGUUAAGUUGCAAAAGUGUCAACAUUAUAUAGGCACUUAACUUUCCAAAGGUUGAUAGAGAUAGGGCUGGCAAACGAGCGAGCCCGCUCGCGUUCGACUCGCGUUCGGCUCGAUAUUCGGCUCGCUCGAGCUCGGCUCGAAAUUAGAUGAGCCGAGCUUGAACAAAAACAAAAGCUCGAAAUUCAUUUCAAGCCGAGCUUGAGUAUUACUCGGCUCGCUCGAAUUAGGCUCGAAAAGCUCAAAUAUAUAUAUAUAUAUAUAUAUAGGCUAAGUGAGUAACCUAAGUUUAGUUAAAAUUGAGCCAAUAUUACUGGCCCAUAAGAACAAACCCAAUAUGCCAACAAAAAAAUAAAAUUUUACUAAAUUUACACUCUCUCCCUCUUUUUCUUUUACAAAGCCUUAAAUUCCUAAUCUCUCUCUCUCUCUCUCUCCUCAAGUGGUCAAACCUAAAGCCCCCAAGUUAUCAAGUAACAGCACGCGUCCACUGUUGCCUACCUUGCCAUUAAUUGUGUGCUUGAGAAAAUAUACAGAAUACUUUUAAGAUAAAAAAUUAUUGUUUAUAUAAAAUUUUGAUUUUAGUUAUAUAUAAUUAGAUAGUUUAAUCUAAUAUUUGUCUAUAAUUUAUUCAUUUUUUGACCGCAUAGAUGAAAAAGAAUAAUAUGAAAAUUGAAGGCGGAAAAGAAGACAUGCGAAGCUGAAAAGAUUAGAUAUUCAACUCGUUAAUUAUUUUUCUUCAUAUUAUAAUACCGUAUUUCAUAUAAUUAUUUUGUAUCUUGAACUAUUAGAUAUAUUUUUGUAUCAAAUUGUAAAUAAUGUUCUAUACAAAUUAAACUAUUAAUCGUACGAUGUUGAGAAUUUCAAGCGGCUCGCUUAGGGCUCGAGCUCGCUCGACUUGAAAUUAGGCUCGCUCGAGCUCGGCUCGAAUUAAUUUCAAGCCGAGCUUGAGCUUAAAUUUAGGCUCGAAAUUAAUUUCAAGCCGAAUUUGAGCUGAGGCAAACUCGCUCGGGCUCGGCUCGUUUCCACCCCUACCCUUCUCUUAUUGGAAAUCCAUCAUCUUUUUUCUGCCCAAAAUGAAUGUGAUUGUUUUAGCCGAAACUGAACGGGAUGGAUUUGGUUAUGUAAAAACAGCUGGAUAUUGGUCUGGGAUUUUGCUUUUAUAGUUCUCCUGAAAAUCGAAUCAAUGCAUACACCAAAUUAAAGCUUCAAGAAACUAGAUUUUUUGGAUUUUUAUGUACUUCUCUUUUCAAUGAUUGAACCUAUUACAUGGAUUUCAACUGGUAGACUUAUAUGGUGGUUUUAUUUCUUUUUAUUACUUUUUUUAUGACCUUAUAUGUGUUAAUUAUAAGAUAUUGAUUGAUACAAUUUGUUGCUUGUUUAAAUAUGAACAUGUAAGUUGAUAUAUAUAUAUUUUUUCUUUCUAAAUUAUGCUAUUUCAGUUUUCCGAUUUGAUGUGGUUAUGAUUUUUUUUUUUUUUUUUUUUGAAAUUGAAUGCUUUCUAAAGUGUUGCUUUUCUCACAUUCCUUGUAACAUUGAGCUUUUGUGUUGAGUAAGAUUCUUCAUUCAUCCACGGAUUAAUUGGAAAUAAAUAAUCCUGUGCAGCUGUCGAUAUUAUGUUUAAGAUAUUCUGUUUAAACUAAAUUUAAGAUGUCAAUCUGACUUUUCCCCCCUCUUUUUUGGCAAUAAUUUGCAGAAAAACAGGAAGAGAAAAUCGACCCUAUACUUGAUUGGGUGCAAUCUGAAUUCGGAUCUAAACCAGUUGUGUACACGAGCUUUUUCGGUGGUAAGCAGGAUGAGGGCCUUACUAGGGCUGUCGAAGAUGUUCUAAAGAAAACAAAUGAUUGUGAACUAGCAGUGAUUGAUGCGAUGGCCGCUGCGGCACACUCAUUGGUAAUUCCUUUAGCAAUUUUUCGUGGAAGAUUGGGAAUUGAGGAGGCCAUUGAUUUGAUCAGGCUUGAAGAAGAUCUCCAGGUCUAUUUUGGCCCCGUAUUUUUAUUAUCAUUUAGCUUCUUACCAAUUUUCACUUAAACUAUGUUGUUUAUUUUGGUCAGGUGGAUCGAUGGGGGCUGGUUGAAGGAGGCCAUGACGUUGAUAUUGCUGAUCUGAAGGUGCAAAUGUCAUCUGCUGCUGUUUUUCUUGGACUUUCGCGGAGAUCAUAAUUCUUCUACUCUAUUUUGAAGUAAGUGUAUCUAAGUGCCUGUUUUUCUUGGAGAUUUUUGUAACAUAGUGAGCUUAGAAUGGUGGGACCACAUGCUUUACAACCGAGCUAAAAAACUAAUAAGCUGAAAUAAAGGUGCUGGUAAUCUUUAACUUCUUUUAUGAGUAAAGUACCAUCAUUAACCGCUCUUUUCUUUUUCUUUCUGAAACGAUCAGUUUUAAAGUGACCAAAGUUAAGGCAAAUAUUUUUGCUGUUGUACAAUGUCUGACAUAUCCAAAUUCGUUGUCGAAUGAUUUUAUUUAAUAUUUUAUUUAAUAAAAGGAAAAUUCUGAGAUGUUCAUAUUAUCUUUACAUUUGAUUUUGUUGUCAGCUAUAAACACUUUUGUCUAAUAUAUUCAUAGUUAGUGAGAGGACAAUGCCACCACCAAAGAACACAAUUAUUUGUUGACGCAGCAGCGGGGUUAAACCUUUGAAAUGAUUUGAAUAAUGGAUCUUGCAUGCUGAAUCUCUUUAGAAAGAUCUUUUUAGGUGGAUAGAUUAUUCCUAAAAAAUCCAUUAAGGCUGGUUGAGCGUAAAUUUUCAUAUUUACAGUUAUGAAGUUACUGAAGAUAAACUACUGUGGAACAAGUCAGAUAGAUUUAUCGAAUUUGUAGCUCUUCUGCAACUGUUUAUGUGUAAGGACUGAGAUUUUUGCAGUGUAGCUAAACUCUCAGUUGACGAUGUUUUUGUGUGUAAUUUAAUUACAAAAGCACUCGUCAAGUUUCGGGCGAAAACGAGUUAAAACGGAAAUUCUACGCGAUUUCCAAGUUUCACUUAAAGUGAAUAGUAACUCGAUUUUCCGGAGAAGCCACGGUGAGAAGUUGGCUUCUGGCUCGUACCGGACUAUGUUUAUAGUAGUCCAAUAGCUCGUUUCGACCNAAAAAAAAAAAAAAAAAAUGGCACGUUUUCCGCAACUCUAUUUUAAAAAGGUUUUUAAAAUCGGCCCCGGGGCGUGACAUUAUGUAUUUGUUUGUAUUCUUUUUCUCGUAGUUUUCUGUCUAUUUGACAUGCAUGCAGCUUUGAAGCUUUACUCUGUUAUAUGUUUUUGUUUAGUAGAAAUAAACACUUGUUUUGGAAAACUCACAACAAGUUUAUUAUAUCUGUGGUUGUUAAUAAUGGGAUUCGUGAAAUUAUUGUGGAUUUUAACUCAUUGUUAUUAACUUUCCUUAUGAUUGUUACAAUUGUUACAAGUAGGAUUUGAGAAAUUAAUGCCGAUUUAUCCGAUCUUUUAACUAGUGUGUUGGCAAAUUUUAUGUUUCCUCUUUAAGAAGAACAGCUUAUUAUACUUUUCUCCAGAGUUUCAUCUUUUGAGCACAUUAUUGAACUUGAUACAAAUCCUUCUUUUCCGAGAAUGAUACAAACAACAUAAUAUGAGAGACAAAUUAAUUGUUUAAGUAUUUAAGAUUUUAAUACAAAUUUUUGCAUAAUGCUCAAUUGAACAUGGAUAACAUAGUUGUCACCUUAAAAAAAGGGUUUAAGUGCACCAUUGGUACCCAAUCUUUUUCUGGUUUUUAUUUUGGUCCUUUUUUUGUUGCCUUUUUGCCAUUAGGUUCCUAACAUUUUAGUAUUUGUUUUCAAAAUGUCGUUAAUUCUGAAAAAAAUUGUCGCAUUGUAAGAUUUGCAAAUAUUGGUGGGUGCUAGUAGAGCAGUUUUCGACUUAAUUGGAAUAAUAAAAAUUGAAUAUUAGGAACCUUAUUAGAGAAAAAAGUUCGUGACCCAAAUAAGAAAAAUGAAAAAAGUUUUGAGACCAUUGGUGCAAUUAAUCCCCAAAAAAACUAGCAAAUCCCAAUUGUCACAGAAAAUUGUUUAGGUUUGGAGAUCAUUCUAUAUAUAAUUUCUUUUCUUUUUCUUUUCAAAUUAGAUUUGGAGAUUAUCUACUCUUAUCUUCUCCAGUGGUUGUGUAAUAUAUUUUUUCUUUUUAUGUUCGUAUUUUACUUCUUUGUUGUUCGGUGUUGUUGCUCGUUAUUUUCUUUUAACUAUUUAUUAUUAUUGUAAUCAGAUUUUACAGUAUGCGAAGAUCAAGUGGAAUCUACGAUAAUUUUCUUUCAAGAGCUCACCACUUCUACCAACCGUCCUUAGAGCAAGUGACAAAAGGCUUGGUGGUUGGUAUUCAAGAUCCAAGUUCGAAUCCUAGUUGAUUUACAUUUUCAGCUAAGUUUAUUUCUAAAUGAAAUAAACGAAGCGGGUAGCGUGCUACCUAUUUCUCAAAAAAAAAAAGAAGAGCUCACCACUUCUUGUACGGACGAAAAAGUUACGAUGUCGUCCAACCAUCGCCCGAUCUCAUGUUCGCCAAUCUCUGAGUUUAAUCGUGCUUGAUUCAGUCAGUCCAAACAGGUCCUCGCUAAUCUUUAGUAUUCAAAAAAAAAUAAAAAAAAAAUUGAAGGAUUAAUUUCAUUCAGCUUUCUAUUCCAAUAGUAACUAUAUUUUUACAAAAUUUAACUUUUUAUAUUUAUUUUUAUUAAAGUUCGAUAAUAUUCAUAUUGCCCUUCUUGAUUAUUGCCGCAAGAGCAAUAUUUGUCUUUUAACAAAAGAUAAAUGAAAUGACUUUUUUGUCAUCACAAACAUAUUCUUUCAAAAAGUUUCAACGGUUAGAAUUAUACAGAAAUAUUCUCUAAAAAAUCAUUAACGGUUAUUUUUGUUUUUUCCACCAUCACAAUAAUUUACCUUAUUCGCUAACUAAGGUUAAAUAUUUUACUUAUAAUUAAUUAUAUAUUUUUAAUAAAUUUUAAUAUUAAGAAUAUAUUUAAAAAUAUUAAAAUUUUUACAGAAAUAAAUAUAAAAAAUUAAAUAUUAUUUGUAAAUAUAUCUGUUGUUAUUCGACAUGUUAGGGGCUGUUUGGUUGGAUGUAGUUGUAGAAACAGUGUAGUUGAAAAUACAUGCAGUUGCAAAUGCUGCAGUUGUAACUACACCUAGUCUGUUUGGUUUUACGCAGUUGCAACUGCUACAGUUACAUUUCUUCUGUUUGGUAAUAUGAAGCUGAUAGUUGUAUUUGUGAAUUUUGUCAUCUUUUCAGAUAGAGUGGUGAGAUUAGCUUCACUAAACAUAAAAUAAUUGUAUAAGUUUAUUAAUCAUUUAAAUUUACUAUUUAUAAAUAAAUAAGUAGAUAUAUAUAAUAUUCUUCAACUUAUUAAUCGACACAUUUAAAAUUAAAUAAAUUAAACAAACUUUAAAAUUUAAACAUCUCUAAUUUUUUUAUCAAAUUUAUAAUUAAAUUAAUUAAACUUAUUAAAUUAACAUACACGAUCACAUUCUAUAAAAAUUUUAAAAAAAUAAUUAUAUUAUAUUUUUAAAAUAAAUAUAAUUUAACAAUUUAAUUUGUUGCACAACUUGUAUUGUCUAAAAAAUUUUAUUAGUAUGAUGUGUAUUUACCAAGAUUUUAUUUUACUAUAUAUACAUUAUAUUUAUUUAUUUUAUUUAGCUAUUAAUUUAUUUUUUAUUAUGUUAAAUUUGUUGGCUGAUCCUAAUUCCUACACCACUGCUGCAGUUUGGAACUACGGCCAAUUUGAUGUAGUUCAACUGCGGGCAUUUGGACUCUUAUUAGUUGGAACGGCAGCAGUUGAAUCUCAACUACACUAAAGCGCAAACAAUAGAAAUUGAGACUGGCACGUAUUUGCUAAACUGCACUGCUAGUGCAAAUACUGCACUACUCAAACAGUCCCCUUAGAUAGAGCCUGCACGUUGCAGAACUGAAUCCUAGUGGGCGGUUUGCGUUUUAGGGACAGCGAAAGACUGGCCUGUGGCUGGGCUCGACCUUCAAUGCAUUCCGAGGUCUAAAGUCUAAAAAAAUCGCUCUAAUCAAUAAUAAUAAUAAUAAUAAUAAUAAUAAUAAUAAUAAUACAUGUGUGCGUCAAUAACAGUUGAAUUGUGUCCUUGUAAAUUAUCUUUGUUGAACACUGUUAUAAAAAUAAAAAAAUUAAAAUUAGAAAAGUAAAAAUAAAGUCGACACUUUUGCUGUUGCAGUUACAGUUGAAGUUGCACUGUGUACUUAAUUACCAGCGACAGCUAUUUACUUUUGACUCUAAACUGCUCCUCCAACAAGUAAAAAAAAAAAAAAAAAGAAAAAAUUCAAAAACCCCCCUUUGGUUUCGCACUUUUUUAUUUUAGUACCCUGUAGUUUAAAAUGUAUCAAAUUAGUACCAUGUGGUUUCGCACUUUCUCACUUUAGUAUUCUGUGGUUUAAAAUAUAUCAAGUUAAUACUCUGUGGUUUUAUUUUUGUACCAAGUUAGUAUCUUAUGAUUUUAUUUUUGUAUCAAGUUAGCACCCUGUGGUUUUUAAACUACAGGAGUACUAAAGUGAGAAAGUGCGAAACCACAGGGUACUAACUUGAUAAACUUUAAACCACAGGGUACUAAAGUGAGAAAGUGCAAAACCACAAGGGACUAAUUUGAUAUAUUUUAAAUCACAGAAUACUAAAGUAAGAAAAAGUGAAACCAUAAGAAAGUAUUUGAAGUUUUUUCAAAAAAAAAAAAAGAGCACAUUUUCUAUGAUUCCGUGCGCACAAAAAUUUCUAUGGCCUGUUUAAUGUGAACGGGCUCAGAUUGAUCAUUCUGUUGAUGUGUAGCAGAAUUUCUCAUCAGUGUAGAGAAAUUUGCUUUUCUACAACUUCAUUCGAUAUGGAUGAUCUAGAUUGAUCUUGAUGCAGAUAUGCGGCGGGAUCCAAGGAUUUAAGUCUCUAUAGGUACGGAUCGUAUCCAUCGAGCCGUAUCGUGGCAGUAAAAUAUUAGUACGAGACAGUUUUCGUACCGACAGCACAACUCAAAAUCUUCUAUUAUUUUAAAUCAGUAAGUAAUUUUUUUAAUAAAGUUCAAAAAAUUUAAUAAAAAUACAUAAUAAAUAAUUGGCAUAUUUUGUUGCUAAAAAAAUAAAUAUUUGAUGUCAUUAUAUGUCGGCACUUAAUUUCUUGACGGGAUUGCUUCACACGUAGAGAUUUAAAUUUUUUUAAUAAAAUAAAUAAAUAAAAGAAGGCCUUAACAAUAGUUUCGUAGUCACAGACUUUUUAUUGGAAAAAUAAUUUCACUUAAUUUUAAACUCAACUAAAAAGUUAUGUUCAAUACUAAUACUAAUAAAAUAAAAAAAAAACUUCAAAUAUCCCCUUUGUGGGUUUAUUUUUUUUCACUUUAGUAUCCUGUGGUUUAAAAUGUAUCAAGUUAGUACUAUGUGGUUUCGCACUUUCUCACUUUAGUUCCCUGUGGUUUCGCAGUUUCUUACUUUAGUAUUUUGUGGUUUAAAAAUCACGGGGUACUAAUUUGAUAUAAAAAUAAAACCACAGAAUACUAACUUGAUAUAAAAAUAAAACCACAGAGUACUAACUUGAUACACUUUAAAUCACAGGAUAUUAAAUGAGAAAGUGCGAAAUUACAGGAUACUAACUUUAUACACCUUAAACAAUAGGAUACUAAAAUGAAAAAGUACGAAACCACGGGGAUUUUUUUUGAAGUUUUACCUAAAAUAAAGGGUCCCAAGAAUCGAGAGAGAGGGUCUACUUUGCUUUACGAAGAUUCUCGUGUCCGCGCUUAAGACUUUUCCUCCACAUGCGCUGCAAAAAAUUUGACCUCGCACGUAGAGUCACGUGGUAGUCACGUGGCCUUGGCUGGUAAAAACUGAACACGAAGAAAUGUUGGGCGUAAUUACACACUUAACACGUACAAAUCACUGUUCUUCUCGCUCCCUCUCUUUUGUCCUUGUCGUUUUAUAUGUUUUUCUUGAAUCAACUUUAAUUUGACUUGUGUGGCCUAACAUAUUCCUUUUUGAAAAAAUUUAAAAUACUAUUCCUAUCGUUUUACAUUUUCUUACUCUAGUAUUCUGUGAUUUAAAAUGUAUCAAUUUAAUAUCCGGUGAUUUUAUUUUAUCUUUUUAUUAUCGAUUCCACUAAUUUUUUUUAUUUAAUUAGUAACAAUAUUAAAGCUAAAGGGUAUUAAAGUGAAUAUUCGAUAAACUUAGGUGGGGUAUCUGAGGUUUUUUGUAUAUAAUUUAACGAAAUAUUGACAGAAAAACUGACGAAAAGAUAAAAUAAAAUCACAGGAUACUAACUUGAUACACUUUAAACUAUAGAGCACUAAAGUGAGAAAGUGCGAAACCACGAGAGUAGUGGUGUUUGAUGUUUAUCUUUUUUUUAUUUGGAUUAACUUCAUCUUCCAGAUUCUUAUAAAUAUAAUAAAUUACAAAUAUAUUUAUAUAAAAUUUAAUUUUUUUAUAUUGUUUCUAUAAAAGUUCUAAUAUUUUUAAAUUUGUCGUUCCGGUUUGUUAACGUUAAAACAUUGUAUAUUUUAUAAGUGAAAUGACAUUUUUGCCAUCAUAAAUAUAUUCCUCCAAAAUUUUCAACUGUUAAUUGAAGAAGAGUAAAAAGAUCAAUUCACCUCAUUAAUUAACUACGGUUAAGUAUUUAACCUGUGUUAACUAAAUUUUUCUAGCAGAUUCUAACGGCAGGUAUAUAUUUGAAAACAUCAUUCUAACGGCAGCGAUAUAUUUGAAAAUAUCAGAACUUUUAUAGAGAUAAUAUAUGAAAGUUGAACUUUAUAGAAAUAUAUUUAUAAUUCACUAUAUUUGUAUGGACCUAUAUAUAUAUAUAUAUAUAUAUGCAAUUAACCCUUUUUUAUUUUAUGAUCCCAUAAUUUGACAUCUCUAAUUAUCUAUUAUGAGCUUUAACCAAGCCAAAAUAUUUUACCAAGUUUGAAUUGCUUCAUAAUAGAAUUUAUUUAUGAUAAAUUUUAGGGCACAUUAGUUUUCAUUGCUUAUUACUACCUGUUACCAUCAAUUUUACUUGUGAAUUACACUAUCCUCUUUAUUAAUUAAUUGCAUUAACCAUUCUAUUAAAAUCCUCCAUCUCAUAUAAAUAAUAAAAAGAUAUAUAAUCUGUAAAUAAGCAUAGCAUUUGUUUUUUCUUUAAACCAAACAAAUAAUACUAUGCUCACUUAUUAAGGAACAGCAAAAAUCAAUCACGUCACUUUAAAUUCUACUAUAAUCUAUUUUUAGGAGCGAUUAUAGAAUAUAUUCAGCGUAACGCGAAUAAUUUAAUAAAUAAAUGUAUUAUCAAAAUGAUAAAUAUUACAUCACUAAUUAAGUACAAUUGUACACUACUCUGGAGAGCUAAGAUAGCAUAGUUCGAGCCAAAUAUUAGAACCAAUUUUUGUUGCUUAAUUAAGUUUUUAAUGGAUUGAUUAAUAUUCGCUUUCUCUUAACUAGACUUUAAUUAAUUAACUCCUCUCCUUGAGCCCCGUGAUUCCAUGUGUUUUGAUCCUAAUCCAAAAUAUAAUUAUUUUGUUCAUGAUCUCCUCUAUUCGUUAGCUAGGUUAUGUAUAGCUAGGGUUUCACAUGGAAGUAGUACAAUGCUACAUGCAAAAUGUAGAUGAUGUUCUAAAUAGACAUUUGAUAAUGAAAUGUAGGUUUUCUUUUGACUAAUUAAUUGCACUUUUGGUGCUCAAAUUAUGAGGCGCGAGAUAUUUUGGUCCUUACAGUUUAAUUAAUUUGCUUUAGUUUCUGGAUUGAACUUUUUAAUUCAUUAUUGUCAAAUCCAAUAACUCAAUUUAGUUAACUAAAUAUUGACGCCAUGCAAAUGUAAAAGUGAUGAGACAAUAUUUUAAUCAAUGAUGCAAUAAUCAAUAAUUAACAUAUCACAUUAUUUUUACAACAGUAAUAUAUUAAUAUUUAGUGUUUUUUGUGAGUAAAUUACAUUUUUAAACCUUCACGUGAAGCUAUUAUCACAUGAANUUAUAUAAUAAAAAUUCAAAAGAACUUAGUGAAUCGAUAAUCUUAGUUUAAUUUGAAUUAAUAGAUAAAGGAAAACACGAGCUAUAUAUACACCGAUUUAUCAGUUCAAAUCUUACAACUCUUCCAUCCUAAGAUUCACUAAGUUCUUUUGAAUUUUUAUUAUAUAAAGAAAAAUGAUAAGACUAAUGGAGACACUAUAAUAAAAACGGUAUAUAGCGACACUUUUAAAUAUCGGUUCAGGUCAAAAAAAAUACUGCUGGCUAAAUUACCAACACUUUUAAAAAAUAUUGCUAUAUGUGGGGUCGUUAGGUAUAUAAUGACAGUUAAAUAGUGUCGGUAUAACUUAAAAAAAGUGCUGCUAAUUUAUCAACACUUAUUUAAGUAUUUAGCAACCGCCGGAACUCUAUCUCGUUAGCUGCGGUGACGGAGGAGGAGGAGAAGGAAGGACUUUUCGUCUAGGAUUUUAGUGGAUUGAGUGAGGGGAGAAGAGGAGAUGGUAAUUGAUUUUUUUUUUUUUUUCUAUUUGUAAUCGGACCAAAUGGACUGGGUGGAAUAGGUUGAGUAGAGUAACCUUUUAUUUUUGGUUGGAUUAAGUUUUAUAUUUAGGCAUUAGUAGAUUUUUUUUAAAGUUUUGGUAUAAAUGAGAUAUUUACAUAUAAGUGUCCCAAACAUGUAUUCCUAUAACCUAAUUCUGUUGUAGUGAAAAGUACUAGUGUUCUUU